CACACACACACACACACACACACACACACACGCACACACACAUGCACACUGAUAGCAGGAUCCUUCAUUGUGUUUGCCCUUUGGAUGCCACACCUCAACAGACACUGCAUUACUCUGUGUACGUGCAUGUGUGUGUAUUUGUGUGUACGUGCAUGUGUGAGCGUGUGCGUAAGACCUUUGUCCUUUGCUCUAUUUUGCCUCUCAUAUCAUUAAACCUCACUAUCACUGGUGUGUUCGUAUGGUCGCGCGUGCGCGCGUGUGUGUGUGUGUGUGUGUUUAUGCAUGCGUAUGAUUUGCAGCCUUGUUAGUGUGUUUGAAAUCUGACAAUAGUGGCAGCAUGAAGGUUGAAUCGAGGCUUGCGGUGGGUGGCGUUUGGAUAGGAUGUUGUCCUUGCACCGGCUAACCUGCUGACAAAUUGGGCGGAGCUUUACCUGCCCACCAUAAAGUUGGAUCGAGGAUGAGGACAAUAAACUUUUUUUUUUUCA